CAUUCUUCUGCCCACCAGAGGCUGCUGUGGCACGAGACCAGAGGGCAGUCGCUCCCAGGCAGAAGCAGCCCUCCGUGGAUAUGUAGGAGAAGAGACUUCAUUCCUUACAGCACCCUGCCUGUGAGACCAGCAUCGUCAACACUUGAAGGACAAAGGAAGCAUCAAUGGACUGGGGAGGGAUCAUGGCUGAAAGAAUUUCAGUCAGUAAGACUGCUAAAACAUGUGGUCACCUUUGAAUUGUGCCAAAACUUACUGGAAGAACAGCUGCUUCAAAUGCAACCCCUCAGAUCUGCUUCAUCAGGACAAGAGACCAUGAAUAUGCAGCAUUUUCUCACUCUAAAAUUAAAUUUGAAUGUUUUUCUUUUUAAAAUUAUACAAGGGCUCAAAAGAGUGUUUUAGAAAUACCCCACCAAAUCCUACUUGGAUUUUAACUUUAGACCUGUAUUGUAUAAACAGAAUACGUGGUAGUAAUACCACCACUUUUCAUCCGUAGAUCUAAAAGCACUUGAACAAAGGUCAGUAUCAUUAUCCCAUUUUUACAGAUGAGGAAACUGUGGCACAGAGAGUUAAAAUGAUUUGCCCACUGGUCACCAAGCAGGCUAGUGGCAGAAUAGAACCCAGAUCUCCUGAGUCUCAGUCCAGCGCUCUAUCCACUGGGCUACACUGCCUUUAUUUUUAAUAGAGAGUUAGUAUUCACUUGUUACAAGUCAAUUCCUGGCUUGCAACUUUAAUCACUGAAUUAGGAGCUCCAGUCUAACUAUCAAUGUCAAGCAUACAAGUAUCUAUGUCUAUAGAAUAUAGCCCAAACACUUCAACUGCACACAAAAUAACUCCAGGAAA